CACAGAUUCACCUGCUGGAGGACCAGCACAGGUAACCGGGUCAGGUGACGGGUCUCAAAACGCUCCGGUUUCAAACCUCCAUCAGGAAAAUGUCCGUCCUCCAUCCUCCUCGUGUCUGAGGAGAUGUUCUAAACGUUCUAAACGUUCUAAACGUUCUAAACGUUCUGGUUUGUUUUGACUCUUUAACCAGUUUCUGUUCCUUGAUUUCCUGUAACUGUUCGACUGUUAAAACCGUCAUCCCAGUAGAUUCUGAAGGAGGAAGUAACCCAAAAGGUCAAAGGUUAUCCGACAGUCAAAUGGGAGUGGCGUUUAACGUUGCCAUGACAAUGUCAGAUAACGAGCGUCAUCUCAGACAGACUGUUGUGUCCAUAAGCUGGCUGGGGGGCUUCGGUUGCCGUGGUAACGCGUGACUCCUUCAGGUAUUUCUGGUCUCCUGAAAAUCAAGCCGCUCGUGGAAACUCUGUCGACCUGCAGCUGACUGAGGGAGAGGCCGGCCGGGCGGCUGGCGGCGCUCCGCGGCGGGCGGGGGUCCCUGAGUUCGGGCCCAAUGGAAACUGUGUGCAUGCUCUCAGGGUGUCAGAUUUGUCGGGCCAGAGGUCAGUUUAUUUCCAGCGCGUGUCUUCAUCACAUGGGGCCUCGCGCUCGUCUGUCCCGCCGCUCCAGGAUUCCCUGCAGGACUCUCAGGUGUUCGGAGGUUCCUCUGCAGGUUCCCGGAUGAAAGCCGGUUCUGGAUCAGAGAGGUGAGGGGUUCAGAGUCCAGAACCGGAUCGACGCCAGACUGAGCUCUGCUGCCAUCUAGUGGCUCAGUGCUGACAUUGAACUUUCAAGCUUCUUUCAGGGACAAAAAUCAUCAAGUUACAGUUUGGUGUCUUCACAGUUAAUGUGAUUCUGAAACCAGUCAGUGUUUAACUUUAUGUGCUUAGUGGUGUAAAAAUGCUUCAUUUAAAGAAGAUUUAAUCCCACAAAAAUCAACCCGUUAAUAUGAAUUCUGGAUGAUUUUCCCCACAAUGAGAAAAACUCUCAAUUCCACUCAGCAAAUAUUUAAAGAGACUUAAACAAAACAUCCACCAUGUUAAAGGUAGGUUGUUAAGAAAUAAUAAAAAAGAGUGAAAAGUUAGGGCUCAUAAAAGUGAAACCAGUGAUCUGUUAUGCAGUUUUUACAUUUUACUGUAUAUUUUCCUUCCUUUAGUUUAUGUUUUUCUUUCCUUCAUUCCAACAGGCAAUCCAAACGUACAAUAACAAUAAAUGGAGAAUCCUCGUGAUCAUGAAACAGAGACUGUCGUCACAUUUCCUACUCCAGACAUGACGCUGUGGUACAAUCAUCUCCUCAACAUGUUUCAGUCUUUGGAAGCUGAACCGUUUACACUUCCAGUUAAAAGACGUCAAACAUUGACGUCACGUGUUUUCAUUUUUAGUGUAAAUUUUUAUGUUUACGUUGUUUUUGUGUUGAGAACUCGUGCGUUAUCAGUAAAACUAAAAAUCUGAUUAAAAGCUAAAACUAUCAGCUGUAUUUUGAGUCUUCUGUUAGCUCUCAUGCUAACCCCAUGUAGCAGCUAGCUCACCGUGUCUCUCAGGACGUCUGUUGGGUUUGUUGUCACAUGUCACCAAACCUUAAACAUGUUUUCCAACUGUAUGUGCAGACGGUGAUAUCAUACAAACAUUUGUCCCAAUCUGAAACAGUCUGUUAUACAGAGUCUGACAGAUGACGAUGUUCCGACAUGUUUAAAUGUCAUCUUUUAAAUUCAUAUCAAUGAUAUAAAUGUUGUUGGGAAAACUGGACAUGCAGAUCUUUAAUGCUCAUUGUUUUUGUUUAUUGUUAUACAACUUUAUUAUGAAAUGAUAACACGGAGUUUUUACACUGACAAACGUUUAGUUUUAUUAACCAAAACAUAGAAAAUAAUUGAAAUAGUAUUUAGUCCUUUAGUCCCAUCAUUUAAACAUGAGGAGCAUUGGGGAUUAGGAUUGGUAUUCAUGAUGACACUUAUGUGCUGUUUCUAGCUUUGAAACCAACAUUUACUCAUCAUCUUUUAAAAUCCUUUUCAGUCGCUGAAAUACUAUUGGACUUCUGGGACAACCAGCCCGUUUUAUGGGGUCGAAUCAGGAUCAGCUCAAAAUGAAUGAAAAAACAGAUUGAAAAUGUGAAAAACAGACAUUGUAUAUGAAAAGAAAUUAAAAUUUGAAAUAAAACUUGAAAAUUUCCACAAUGUUUUGUGACUGAAAAAAUGAAAACCUG